rnacentral:rRNA from 1 species
UACGUAGGUGACCAGCGUUGUCCGGAUUUACUGGGCGUAAAGAGCGCGCAGGCGGUCGUUCAAGUCGAGUGUGAAAGCCCCCGGCUCAACUGGGGAGGGUCACUCGAUACUGAUCGACUUGAAGGCAGGAGAGGGAAGCGGAAUUCCCGGUGUAGUGGUGAAAUGCGUAGAUAUCGGGAAGAACACCAGUGGCGAAAGCGCUCUACUGGGCCAUAACUGACACUGAGGGACGAAAGCUAGGGGAGCGAAAGGG